CAUCUCAUUUGGUAUAAA
rnacentral:miRNA from 1 species